rnacentral:lncRNA from 1 species
AAUUUUUUUCUAUAAGUGUGGCAUCAAAGUAAAAGUUACACCAUACAAAGUGGAACAGGCAAAAAAGGCUUUAUUUAAGACCACUGCAGCAGACAAGAAAAGCCAGAACUAAGUUUGAACUCAACAUCACUAAAGCAGAGAUGAUAGGGUUUUAUAAGGGCUUGGGUGAGCUAGUGUAAAAAUCCUAAAGGACAUUAGGAGAAAGCCAUAAGCCAUCUGUAUUAGGGUUCUCUAGAGGAACAGGACUAAUAGUGUAGAUGUCUGUAUGAAGGGGAGUUUAUUAAGGAGUACUGACUCACAUGAUCACAAGGUGAAAUCCCUCAAUAGGCCCUGCAAGCUGAGGGGUAAGGAAGCCGGUCCGAGUCCUAAAAGCUCAAAAGUAGGGAAGCCAACAGUGCAGCCUUCAGUCAGUGGCUGAAGGCUUGAGAGCCCCUGGCAAACCACUGGUGUAAGUUCAACAGUCCAAAAGCCAAGGAACUUGGAGUCUGAUAUUCAAGGGCAGAAACAUCCAGCACGGAAGAAAGAUGAAGCGUGGAAGACUCAGCCAGUCUAGUCCCUCCAAGUUUGCUGGCUUUUUUCCAGCUGCACUGGCAGCUGAUUAGAUUGUGCUCACUCAGUUUGAGGAUUUGGGAACUCAGACUCAGAGAGAGCCUCUCUUCUCAUUGAGACUAAGUGACAUCAGUGAAUGGGCUGGUCUGGAUGGCUUCACUCAUAUUUCUGGUGCUUUGACAAGGAUGAUUAGAAGACUGGACUUAGUUGGGGCUGAAUCCUUCUUCUUCAACUUGGUGGACUGAUGAAACAUGGACGAAACAGGAGGACAUUUGUUGAAUGUAAGAAGCCAGGCACAAAAAGAAAAUUACGGCAUUAUCUCAGAAUUACCUGGGACAUCUUCUACCUUGACAUUGGCUUGCCCAGAAUCCAGGAGCACAUACCGCUGAUCCCAUCAGUAGUUAUGG